UUUCACAAUAUGUGUUAUAUAUUUUCUUUAAUAAUGUUUGUUUAAUCUUGUAUCUAUUUUCUCGUUGUUCCUGCAUUUUUACUCAUUUAUUAUGAAAACAACUGGACAAAUUAAAAAACUACCUCCUUAACAUAUCAUCCCAAUCAGAUUUCCUUUCAGAAAAUGGGCUAUUAUUGUACAUCUGAGCAAAAUUGCUAGUAAAAAAGUAUGUUCAC